AGUGAACGCUGGCGGCAGGCCUAACACAUGCAAGUCGAGCGGCAGCGCGGGGGCAACCCUGACGGCGAGCGGCGGACGGGUGAGGAAUUCGUUGGAAUCUGCCUUUUUGUGGGGGAUAACGUAGGGAAACUUACGCUAAUACCGCAUACGUCCUACGGGAGAAAGUGGGGGACCGCAAGGCCUCACGCAGAAAGAUGAGCCGACGACCGAUUAGCUAGUUGGUGGGGUAAAGGCCCACCAAGGCGACGAUCGGUAGCUGGUCUGAGAGGAUGAUCAGCCACACUGGGACUGAGACACGGCCCAGACUCCUACGGGAGGCAGCAGUGGGGAAUAUUGGACAAUGGGCGCAAGCCUGAUCCAGCCAUGCCGCGUGUGUGAAGAAGGCCUUCGGGUUGUAAAGCACUUUUGUCCGGAAAGAAAUCCCUGGAGCUAAUACCUUCGGGGGAUGACGGUACCGGAAGAAUAAGCACCGGCUAACUUCGUG
rnacentral:rRNA from 1 species